CCUACGGGAGGCUGCAGUGGGGAAUAUUGCACAAUGGGGGAAACCCUGAUGCAGCGACGCCGCGUGAGUGAAGAAGUAUUUCGGUAUGUAAAGCUCUAUCAGCAGGGAAGAAAAUGACGGUACCUGAUUAAGAAGCCCCGGCUAACUACGUGCCAGCAGCCGCGGUAAUACGUAGGGGGCAAGCGUUAUCCGGAUUUACUGGGUGUAAAGGGGGCGUAGACGGCAGCACAAGUCUGGAGUGAAAUGCCGGGGCUUAACCCCGGAACUGCUUUGGAAACUGUGCAGCUAGAGUGCAGGAGAGGUAAGUGGAAUUCCUAGUGUAGCGGUGAAAUGCGUAGAUAUUAGGAGGAACACCAGUGGCGAAGGCGGCUUACUGGACUGUAACUGACGUUGAGGCUCGAAAGCGUGGGGAGCAAACAGGAUUAGAUACCCCGGUAGUC
rnacentral:rRNA from 1 species